UCCGCGGCACUACACAAAAAACUGUUCCAGGGAGCAAGAAAAUGUCGAACCGUGAAACCGGUACCGUCAAGUGGUUCAACGAUGCCAAGGGCUUUGGCUUCAUCAGCCGUGAGAACGGCGAGGACGUCUUCGUCCACUUCCGCGCCAUCCAGGGCAACGGCUUCAAGUCGCUGCAGGAAGGCCAGAAGGUCAGCUUCACCGUGACCCAGGGCCAGAAGGGCCUGCAGGCGGACAUGGUCGAAGCGCUGUAAGGCAUCGACGACGCAGCCGCCACGGCGGCCGCAACGUGAUCCAGGAAAACCCGGCCUCGGCCGGGUUUUCUUU
rnacentral:other from 1 species